rnacentral:sRNA from 1 species
UACACAGCUUGCGCUUUGCUUGAUGUA